rnacentral:rRNA from 1 species
UACGUCGGGUGCGAGCGUUAAUCGGAAUUACUGGGCGUAAAGCGUGCGCAGGUGGUCAUGUAAGACAGAUGUGAAAUCCCCGGGCUUAACCUGGGAAUUGCAUUUGUGACUGCAUGGCUAGAGUGUGGCAGAGGGGGAUGGAAUUCCGCGUGUAGCAGUGAAAUGCGUAGAUAUGCGGAGGAACACCGAUGGCGAAGGCAGUCCCCUGGGCCUGCACUGACACUCAAGCACGAAAGCGUGGGGAGCAAACAGG